rnacentral:tRNA from 1 species
GGUUAGAGCACCACCUUGACAUGGUGGGGGUCGUUGGUUCGAGUCCAAUCGAACGCACCA